UACGGAGGGAGCUAGCGUUGUUCGGAAUUACUGGGCGUAAAGCGCGCGUAGGCGGCUUUGUAAGUUAGAGGUGAAAGCCCGGGGCUCAACCCCGGAACAGCCUUUAAGACUGCAUCGCUAGAAUCCGGGAGAGGUGAGUGGAAUUCCGAGUGUAGAGGUGAAAUUCGUAGAUAUUCGGAAGAACACCAGUGGCGAAGGCGGCUCACUGGACCGGCAUUGACGCUGAGGUGCGAAAGCGUGGGGAGCAAACAGG
rnacentral:rRNA from 1 species